rnacentral:rRNA from 1 species
UGAGACAGUUCGGUCCCUAUCCGUCGCAGGCGUAGGAAAUUUGAGAAGACCUGUCCUUAGUACGAGAGGACCGGGAUGGACGUACCUCUGGUGUACCAGUUGUCCUGCCAAGGGCAUGGCUGGGUAGCUAUGUACGGAAUGGAUAAGCGCUGAAAGCAUCUAAGCGCGAAGCCAACUUCAAGAUAAGAUUUCCCACCGCAAGGGUAAGACCCCAGAAAGACUAUCUGGUUGAUAGGUCGAAGGUGUAAGUGCAGCAAUGUAUUUAGCUUAUCGAUACUAAUAGGUCGAGGACUUGACCAAU